rnacentral:rRNA from 1 species
GAUCAUGGCUCAGGAUGAACGCUAGCGACAGGCCUAACACAUGCAAGUCGAGGGGCAGCGGAGAGGUAGCAAUACCUUUGCCGGCGACCGGCGCACGGGUGAGUAACACGUAUGCAAUCCACCUGUAACAGGGGGAUAACCCGGAGAAAUCCGGACUAAUACCCCAUAAUAUGGGCUCUCCGCAUGGAGGGUCCAUUAAAGAGAGCAAUUUUGGUUACAGACGAGCAUGCGCUCUA